AGCGAACGCUGGCGGCAGGCUUAACACAUGCAAGUCGAGCGGGCAUCUUCGGAUGUCAGCGGCAGACGGGUGAGUAACACGUGGGAACGUACCCUUCGGUUCGGAACAACUCUGGGAAACUGGAGCUAAUACCGGAUACGCCCUUAUGGGGAAAGGUUUACUGCCGAAGGAUCGGCCCGCGUCUGAUUAGCUAGUUGGUGGGGUAACGGCCUACCAAGGCGACGAUCAGUAGCUGGUCUGAGAGGAUGAUCAGCCACACUGGGACUGAGACACGGCCCAGACUCCUACGGGAGGCAGCAGUGGGGAAUAUUGGACAACGGGCGCAAGCCUGAUCCAGCCAUGCCGCGUGAGUGAUGAAGGCCUUAGGGUUGUAAAGCUCUUUUGUCCGGGACGAUAAUGACGGUACCGGAAGAAUAAGCCCCGGCUAACUUCGUG
rnacentral:rRNA from 1 species